rnacentral:misc_RNA from 1 species
CGUUCCCCGUACGGGCCACCA